GAUGAAGAACGUAGCGAAAUGCGAUAAGUAAUGUGAAUUGCAGAAUUCAGUGAACCAUCGAAUCUUUGAACGCACAUUGCGCCCGCCAGUAUUCUGGCGGGCAUGCCUGUUCGAGCGUCAUUACAACCCUCAGGCCCCCGGGCCUGGCGUUGGGGAUCGGCGGAGCCCCCCGUGGGCACACGCCGUCCCCCAAAUGCAGUGGCGGUCCCGCCGCAGCUUCCAUCGCGUAGUAGCUAACACCUCGCGACUGGAGAGCGGCGCGGCCACGCCGUAAAACACCCAACUCUUCUGAAGUUGACCUCGAAUCAGGUAGGAAUACCCGCUGAACUUAAGCAUAUCAAUAAGCGGAGGA
rnacentral:misc_RNA from 1 species